rnacentral:rRNA from 1 species
AUGAACGCUGGCGGCGUGCCUAAUACAUGCAAGUCGAGCGAACAGACGAGGAGCUUGCUCCUCUGACGUUAGCGGCGGACGGGUGAGUAACACGUGGAAAACCUACCUAUAAGACUGGGAUAACUUCGGGAAACCGGAGCUAAUACCGGAUAAUAUAUUGAACCGCAUGGUUCAAUAGUGAAAGACGGUUUUGCUGUCACUUAUAGAUGGAUCCGCGCCGCAUUAGCCAGUUGGUAAGGUAACGGCUUACCAAGGCAACGAUGCGUAGCCGACCUGAGAGGGUGAUCGGCCACACUGGAACUGAGACACGGUCCAGACUCCUACGGGAGGCAGCAGUAGGGAAUCUUCCGCAAUGGGCGAAAGCUUGACGGAGCAACGCCGCGUGAGUGAUGAAGGUCUUCGGAUCGUAAAACUCUGUUAUUAGGGAAGAACAAAUGUGUAAGUAACUAUGCACGUCUUGACGGUACCUAAUCAGAAAGCCACGGCUAACUACGUG